rnacentral:rRNA from 1 species
UCUAUGAGAUUAAAGCUUCGGCACUUUGAGAUGGGCGUGCGGCUGAUUAGGUAGUUGGUAGGGUAACGGCCUACCAAGCCGACGAUCAGUAGCUGAUGUGAGAGCAUGAUCAGCCACACGGGGCACUGAGACACGGGCCCGACUCCUACGGGAGGCAGCAGUGAGGAAUAUUGGUCAAUGGAGGAAACUCUGAACCAGCCAUGCCGCGUGGAGGAUGAAGGUCCUCUGGAUUGUAAACUCCUUUUAUAAAAGAAGAAACCCCAUUUUCUAAAUGGGUUGACGGUACUUUAUGAAUAAGCACCGGCUAACUCCGUG